CUGCUGUGAACCCCCUCCCCAGGGACCACAGAGCCUCACGAUCCAACCUCAGCCUCACUCUGGGUCCCCCGAACAAGGACUCGAGUUUCCAACACAAAACAGGAGCUCCAUCUCCAGUGGGAUCGCCAGGGCCAAGGUGGCUAGCCUAGAACCAACUGGCCGCCCAGGCCCCCGACUGGCUGGGCCAAGACCGAGGGAAACGGGGCUUCAUUUGAUCCAGGCUCCCCGCCUGCGCUACCGGUUCACAGGCCCGGGGCAGCUCCACCCACCCCGACCCUCACCUCCACCUUCACGAAAGGGGCGCAUCUGAGCUGUGUCGCCUGGACACCUGCACUGGUCAGACCCGGGGAUGCUGACCAGGAGAGGCCCCCUGGGAGCCUCAAAGAGGCCACGGCCCGAGGGUGGAAGUGGAAGGCAGCUCUGAGCCGCUGAGGGCACCAGAAACAGAGGCACAGAGGAUGCCCCCAGCCCAGGCAGGUGUCUCCAGGGCCUUGGGCUUGCGCUGAAGGAGAAGGACGAGAGAACCGGCAGGCCCAGCCCAGCAGAGCCCUCCAGAGGUGGACGCCCAGCGGAUGGACGCGGCGCUCAGCCCGGCUCCGAGGACACCGCUGCUGGACCCGAGGUCGCACAGGGCAGUGCCUUCUGGGGACUGACCAGGCAGCGGGACCGCCCGACUGACCCCUGCCCGGUGCUCCCACCCCAGCCCAGGCCACGGAAAGUCCAGCAGGGAGGCUCGGCCCGACGAGCGGACAGCCACUGCCGAAGGCCCGGCCGGCAGCGGGAGGGGGCAGAGAGCUCCCCGCUCAGCAGAACGCUAGCGGCUACUUUCCAUGGAAAAAAU
ensembl:lncRNA